rnacentral:rRNA from 1 species
UACGUAGGGUGCGAGCGUUUGUCCGGAAUUAUUGGGCGUAAAGAGCUUGUAGGCGGUUUGUCGCGUCUGCCGUGAAAAUCCGGGGCUCAACCCCGGACUUGCGGUGGGUACGGGCAGGACUAGAGUGUGGUAGGGGAGACUGGAAUUCCUGGUGUAGCGGUGAAAUGCGCAGAUAUCAGGAAGAACACCCGUGGCUAAGGCGGCUCUCUAGUACGGUACUGACGCUGAGACGCGAAAGCGUGGGGAGCGAACAGG